rnacentral:rRNA from 1 species
AACGAACGCUGGCGGCAGGCUUAACACAUGCAAGUCGAGCGCAUCCUUCGGGGUGAGCGGCAGACGGGUGAGUAACGCGUGGGAACGUACCCUUUCCUACGGAAUAGCUCCGGGAAACUGGAAUUAAUACCGUAUACGCCCUUAGGGGGAAAGAUUUAUCGGGGAAGGAGCGGCCCGCGUUGGAUUAGCUAGUUGGUGGGGUAAAGGCCUACCAAGGCGACGAUCCAUAGCUGGUCUGAGAGGAUGAUCAGCCACAUUGGGACUGAGACACGGCCCAAACUCCUACUGGAGGCAGCAGUGGGGAAUAUUGGACAAUGGGCGAAAGCCUGAUCCAGCAAUGCCGCGUGAGUGAUGAAGGCCUUAGGGUUGUAAAGCUCUUUUACCCGGGAUGAUAAUGACAGUACCGGGAGAAUAAGCCCCGGCUAACUCCGUGCCAGCCGCCGCGGUAA